rnacentral:rRNA from 1 species
AUUGAACGCUGGCGGCAUGCUUUACACAUGCAAGUCGAGCGGUAACAGGCCUUCGGGUGCUGACGAGUGGCGAACGGGUGAGUAAUGCAUCGGAACGUACCCAGAGGUGGGGGAUAACGCAGCGAAAGCUGUGCUAAUACCGCAUGUGAUCUGAGGAUGAAAGCGGGGGACCGAGCAGCAAUGUUUGGCCUCGCGCCUUUGGAGCGGCCGAUGUCGGAUUAGCUAGUUGGUGGGGUAAAGGCCUACCAAGGCGACGAUCCGUAGCUGGUCUGAGAGGACGACCAGCCACACUGGGACUAAGACACGGCCCAGACUCCUACGGGAGGCAGCAGUGGGGAAUUUUGGACAAUGGGCGCAAGCCUGAUCCAGCAAUGCCGCGUGCGGGAAGAAGGCCUUCGGGUUGUAAACCGCUUUUGGCAGGAACGAAACGGUGUCCGCUAAUACCGGGCGCUAAUGACGGUACCUGCAGAAUAAGCACCGGCUAACUACGU